GUGCUAACUUCAGCAGCACAUAUACUAAAAUUGGAACGAUACAGAGAAGGUUAAUUAGCAGGGCUCCUGCGCAAGGAUGACAUGCAAACUUGUGAAGCGUUCCAUAUUUUC
rnacentral:snRNA from 1 species